rnacentral:lncRNA from 11 species
GGGGAAUUAAGCAGAUGGUUGUACUCUAAAAGGAGGAGUCAGUCUUGUGUGAUGGGCAUAAAUAAAUUCUCCAUCUUCUUUAAAUACCAUGCAAAGAAGACAAUUCCAAAAGGGAUGAGGUAUCAUCUAAAAUUUGAUUUUUUCCCAGGAUUUGAACACAGACGUGAAUCCUUCAAGGGAGAGAUAGGAGAACGAGCGAGAAUACAUAAUGAAAAGCUGCAUUUUCUGGGUACAUGCACCCAUUUGCAGCGGAUGAACCAUAUGUGA